GUUGGCGGCCCCGGUGUGGGUGCGGUCGGCUGCGCUGGAGCUUGGUCCUGGCAGCGCCUGGGCUGCGCUGUAAAUGGGAAGAGCACUCCCUCCUCGCGUCUCCUUUAGCCAUAAGAUACAUAACUGACCUGGGUGGGGUGGGUGGAAAGAUGGAACUGCUCUUUGCAGGGGGGCUUUGGCAUGCUGAGGAGGAAGUACCCCUGCCUCCUUUCAGGCUAAAGGGCUACACCUGGAAGAAAAUUACCCUAUGAAACAUUAAAAUCUGAUUAAAAAAACAAAUGCAGGAAAGGUGCUGUGAGUCACAGUGACCCUCCCAUGAUGAACACCUCCUAGUUCAGAGACCUCCUCACCCUGCCAGUGAGCCUGCUGACAGAGCUGCCCUUUUAGGGCUUUCUCAGUACCACUGGAAAGCUUUUGGAGCCCUAAGCCCUGACUGCUCAGGAAGGAAAAGUUGCCAGCACUAUGGAAAGUGGGAAAUGGCAGAGCCAGUGAGAAGAGACCACCUGGGAGUGUAAAAUAAUGUAAUGCAAGUAAGUGGAACAUCCCUCAAGCAAAAUUAAUCAAUCUUAUUAUCAACAACAAAAGACCUGGGCUGCUGCUUCAGCCUUCUGAAGUUAUUCAUAGGUUGAGAAAUAAAGGCAGGGAAACUGAAGGAAACAAUAAUGCAAACAAAGCAGAAAUUGAAAGCAGUGGCACAAAAUGAAUAUGUUAUUAUACUGAGAAGUUGUAAGUAGCAGGAAAAAAAUAAGAUAUAUUUGUUAGAACUGUACUGUUGAUGAAACUUAUUGCGUCUGGCUCCAUAAAUCCUGAAAUCACUAAAUCUGGACAUUACAGAUCUAGUUUCCCUCAAAACUAUUCCAUGACAGUAAUCUAUGGAUGACCUACCAAAAAUCAUGAAUAGUAUGUAGCUCCACAAACUGAUUUGUAGUCUACAGCUUUACUCACAAACGGCACCACACAAACACAGGUACACCACAAAUAAGCACCAAUACCCACAGAAUGCAUACUCUUUGCAUUAACAGCACAGAAAUACUAGUAUAUCACUUAAAUUCCUAUUGCCUGCACUUAAUAAACUAAACACAGUCAAGAAACUGAUGUGCAAAUGUGAUGUAGGAACUUGUGUUUUACACUUCGAAAGAGGCUUCUCGGGUUUCCGGUAAUGCAGCCUUUUGUCACAGCACCAUGGCAGAAUCUGUACAGAAAUACACUUUUUCAGUCUGUCAGGGCCCAAAUCGGGAGCAGGAGGAGAGAGCAUCCUGCUGACAAUGUCUAAUAAAGGUUGAUCGAUUU